rnacentral:rRNA from 1 species
UGUGAGCUCGAUGAGUAGGGCGGGACACGUGGUAUCCUGUCUGAAUAUGGGGGGACCAUCCUCCAAGGCUAAAUACUCCUGACUGACCGAUAGUGAACCAGUACCGUGAGGGAAAGGCGAAAAGAACCCCGGCGAGGGGAGUGAAAAAGAACCUGAAACCGUGUACGUACAAGCAGUGGGAGCCUCUUUAUGGGGUGACUGCGUACCUUUUGUAUAAUGGGUCAGCGACUUAUAUUCUGUAGCAAGGUUAACCGAAUAGGGGAGCCGAAGGGAAACCGAGUCUUAACUGGGCGUUAAGUUGCAGGGUAUAGACCCGAAACCCGGUGAUCUAGCCAUGGGCAGGUUGAAGGUUGGGUAACACUAACUGGAGGACCGAACCGACUAAUGUUGAAAAAUUAGCGGAUGACUUGUGGCUGGGGGUGAAAGGCCAAUCAAACCGGGAGAUAGCUGGUUCUCCCCGAAAGCUAUUUAGGUAGCGCCUCGUGAAUUCAUCUCCGGGGGUAGAGCACUGUUUCGGCAAGGGGGUCAUCCCGACUUACCAACCCGAUGCAAACUGCGAAUACCGGAGAAUGUUAUCACGGGAGACACACGGCGGGUGCUAACGUCCGUCGUGAAGAGGGAAACAACCCAGACCGCCAGCUAAGGUCCCAAAGUCAUGGUUAAGUGGGAAACGAUGUGGGAAGGCCCAGACAGCCAGGAUGUUGGCUUAGAAGCAGCCAUCAUUUAAAGAAAGCGUAAUAGCUCACUGGUCGAGUCGGCCUGCGCGGAAGAUGUAACGGGGCUAAACCAUGCACCGAAGCUGCGGCAGCGACACUAUGUGUUGUUGGGUAGGGGAGCGUUCUGUAAGCCUGUGAAGGUGUGCUGUGAGGUAUGCUGGAGGUAUCAGAAGUGCGAAUGCUGACAUAAGUAACGAUAAAGCGGGUGAAAAGCCCGCUCGCCGGAAGACCAAGGGUUCCUGUCCAACGUUAAUCGGGGCAGGGUGAGUCGACCCCUAAGGCGAGGCCGAAAGGCGUAGUCGAUGGGAAACAGGUUAAUAUUCCUGUACUUGGUGUUACUGCGAAGGGGGGACGGAGAAGGCUAUGUUGGCCGGGCGACGGUUGUCCCGGUUUAAGCGUGUAGGCUGGUUUUCCAGGCAAAUCCGGAAAAUCAAGGCUGAGGCGUGAUGACGAGGCACUACGGUGCUGAAGCAACAAAUGCCCUGCUUCCAGGAAAAGCCUCUAAGCAUCAGGUAACAUCAAAUCGUACCCCAAACCGACACAGGUGGUCAGGUAGAGAAUACCAAGGCGCUUGAGAGAACUCGGGUGAAGGAACUAGGCAAAAUGGUGCCGUAACUUCGGGAGAAGGCACGCUGAUAUGUAGGUGAAGUCCCUUGCGGAUGGAGCUGAAAUCAGUCGAAGAUACCAGCUGGCUGCAACUGUUUAUUAAAAACACAGCACUGUGCAAACACGAAAGUGGACGUAUACGGUGUGACGCCUGCCCGGUGCCGGAAGGUUAAUUGAUGGGGUUAGCGGUAACGCGAAGCUCUUGAUCGAAGCCCCGGUAAACGGCGGCCGUAACUAUAACGGUCCUAAGGUAGCGAAAUUCCUUGUCGGGUAAGUUCCGACCUGCACGAAUGGCGUAAUGAUGGCCAGGCUGUCUCCACCCGAGACUCAGUGAAAUUGAACUCGCUGUGAAGAUGCAGUGUACCCGCGGCAAGACGGAAAGACCCCGUGAACCUUUACUAUAGCUUGACACUGAACAUUGAGCCUUGAUGUGUAGGAUAGGUGGGAGGCUUUGAAGUGUGGACGCCAGUCUGCAUGGAGCCGACCUUGAAAUACCACCCUUUAAUGUUUGAUGUUCUAACGUUGGCCCCUAAUCGGGGUUGCGGACAGUGUCUGGUGGGUAGUUUGACUGGGGCGGUCUCCUCCUAAAGAGUAACGGAGGAGCACGAAGGUUGGCUAAUCCUGGUCGGACAUCAGGAGGUUAGUGCAAUGGCAUAAGCCAGCUUGACUGCGAGCGUGACGGCGCGAGCAGGUGCGAAAGCAGGUCAUAGUGAUCCGGUGGUUCUGAAUGGAAGGGCCAUCGCUCAACGGAUAAAAGGUACUCCGGGGAUAACAGGCUGAUACCGCCCAAGAGUUCAUAUCGACGGCGGUGUUUGGCACCUCGAUGUCGGCUCAUCACAUCCUGGGGCUGAAGUAGGUCCCAAGGGUAUGGCUGUUCGCCAUUUAAAGUGGUACGCGAGCUGGGUUUAGAACGUCGUGAGACAGUUCGGUCCCUAUCUGCCGUGGGCGCUGGAGAACUGAGGGGGGCUGCUCCUAGUACGAGAGGACCGGAGUGGACGCAUCACUGGUGUUCGGGUUGUCAUGCCAAUGGCACUGCCCGGUAGCUAAAUGCGGAAGAGAUAAGUGCUGAAAGCAUCUAAGCACGAAACUUGCCCCGAGAUGAGUUCUCCCUGACCCUUUAAGGGUCCUGAAGGAACGUUGAAGACGACGACGUUGAUAGGCCGGGUGUGUAAGCGCAGCGAUGCGUUGAGCUAACCGGUACUAAUGAACCGUGAGGCUUAACCUU